rnacentral:siRNA from 1 species
AUAUUAACCUAGAAUCCGAAACC